GAAGCCCGCAGAGCAGAGCGAGCCGCGAACUCGUUUAUCGUGCCCCCGGGGGGCGGGGCCCGCCCCGNCCCCCGGAGCCGGAGCGCGCNUGCGCCUCCCCNUCCGUCGGGGCGGCGGCGUCCCGGCACGUACCCCAACACCGGCGCGGGUUGCGCCAAGGCCCACGGACUCUGUCGCGUCCCGCUCUUCCCCGGGCCGACCGGGGACUGCGGCGAGGGCGCGUCGGAUGAAAAACGAAACGACUCUCGGCAACGGAUAUCUCGGCUCUCGCAUCGAUGAAGAACGUAGCGAAAUGCGAUGCUUGGUGUGAAUUGCAGAAUCCCGCGAACCAUCGAGUCUUUGAACGCAAGUUGCGCCCGAAGCCAUUCGGCCGAGGGCGCGUCUGCCUGGGCGUCACGCAUCGCGUCGCCCCCUGCCCCCCGNCCGAAGACGGGGGGAGGGGCGGACUUUGGCCCCCCGCGCGCCCGUGCGCGCGGCCGGCCCAAACACGGAGCCCGUGGCUGCACACGCCGCGACGGUCGGUGGUUGACGCGCGGCCGCGAGCUCAAAAGCUCAUGGCCGGGAAGCAUCGCGUCGCGUGCCCGAGCGGGCCGCGUGAGCUCGAAGGACCCUUAGCGACCCCAGGUCAGGCGGGAUCACCCGCUGAGUUUAAGCAUAUCAAUAAGCGGAGGAAAGGAA
rnacentral:rRNA from 1 species